rnacentral:lncRNA from 1 species
AAAAAUAUUUCCAAGAUGAUUUUAUUGAGCCCAUGAAGAUGCCUUCUCUUAGGCGCUAUAAACCCAGGCCCGAGAAACCAAUGACAACCAGGAUUCAGCCCCGUGUCUUCACCUUUAAAAGAAAGAGCCAUGACAAUGCCUAUGGGAAGUGCCCCCAAAAGAUUCAAGGCUGGCGAAGGGUCAGGAAGCAACAAUCCACUGAACCCUCAGGAAUUGAAGGGUGCCAAGGCUGGUGAAGGGCCAGGCAACAAGAAUCCAGCCAACCCUCAGGUGGUGAAGGGUAGGAAAAAGCAAGGGGUGUCUGAAAAUGCCAUCUGCUCAGGCGCUGUAGUCCCUAUGGGGGGGCUUCUGUAAAUAGCCCAACAACUGUUGAAUAGUUUUAAAAAACUGAAAUGAUUGUUAACAUGAUCACUAUUGCUAAAGAAUGGGAAAAGAGACUGGAGCGGAUAGUGGGAGACUUGCCUGAUAGGGAAACAAUCUGUGAAAUGAUUUUUAAAAUUGAUCAUUUUUCUUGUGCAAAGUCAUCUCGAAUCCAAACAAGUCUGGGCUACCCUGAUGUAAAACCUCCACCCAAAAGAGGUAAAAUGAAAAGGGGGAGACCCAGCCAGCAGUCUGGAAAAAAGGGGGAAAAGCCUAUCACAGGGAAGCUUUACUGGCGCAAAAGAGCUGUUAAAUUGUUACACAAGCUAUAGCCGCCUUGCAUGACGCAAUGCAGCAAGUCCUUGAUGGUGUUAAUGAAAGCCUCGAAACUGGGGACUUUGUGCAGCUGAGAUUUGAGGGCAGGAAAUGAGGGUGCCUUUGUUUUCAGUGAAGAAAGUUAAAGGGGAGCUGGAUGCUGAGGAAUUCCUCUCUAAUCUGAGCAACUUGUUACAGAACAACAUGGAACUGUGCCUCGAGGGCACUUUGCGAUUGGUUGUAACUACUAUGAAACCUCCCCAUGGGGGCAGUGAUACUUCAAGAGCCUUGUGCUCUAUCCCUCAUAGUGAAAUUAUAAAUAAAAAGGAAAUAUCUAGUAGAUUAACCA